rnacentral:rRNA from 1 species
AGUGAACGCUGGCGGUAGGCCUAACACAUGCAAGUCGAACGGCAGCACAGUAAGAGCUUGCUCUUACGGGUGGCGAGUGGCGGACGGGUGAGGAAUACAUCGGAAUCUACUUUUUCGUGGGGGAUAACGUAGGGAAACUUACGCUAAUACCGCAUACGACCUACGGGUGAAAGCAGGGGAUCUUCGGACCUUGCGCGGUUGAAUGAGCCGAUGUCGGAUUAGCUAGUUGGCGGGGUAAAGGCCCACCAAGGCGACGAUCCGUAGCUGGUCUGAGAGGAUGAUCGGCCACACUGGAACUGAGACACGGUCCAGACUCCUACGGGAGGCAGCAGUGGGGAAUAUUGGACAAUGGGCGCAAGCCUGAUCCAGCCAUACCGCGUGGGUGAAGAAGGCCUUCGGGUUGUAAAGCCCUUUUGUUGGGAAAGAAAAGCAGCAGGUUAAUACCCCGCUGUUCUGACGGUACCCAAAGAAUAAGCACCGGCUAACUUCGUG